UACGUAGGGUGCGAGCGUUAAUCGGAAUUACUGGGCGUAAAGCGUGCGCAGGUGGUUUGUUAAGUCAGAUGUGAAAGCCCCGAGCUUAACUUGGGAACUGCGUUUGAAACUGGCAAGCUAGAGUCUGUCAGAGGGGGGUAGAAUUCCACGUGUAGCAGUGAAAUGCGUAGAGAUGUGGAGGAAUACCAAUGGCGAAGGCAGCCCCCUGGGAUAAGACUGACGCUCAUGCACGAAAGCGUGGGGGGAGCAAACAGGAUUAGAUACCCUGGUAGUCCACGCCCUAAACGAUGUCAACUGGUUGUUGGGCAACUUGAUUGUUCAGUAACGAAGCUAACGCGAGAAGUUGACCGCCUGGGGAGUACGGUCGCGAGAUUAAAACUC
rnacentral:rRNA from 1 species